UACGGAGGGGGCUAGCGUUGUUCGGAAUCACUGGGCGUAAAGGGCGCGUAGGCGGCCUGGCAAGUCGAUGGUGAAAGCCCGAGGCUCAACUUCGGGUCGGCCACUGAUACUGCUGGGCUUGAGUCGACUAGAGGCAGAUGGAAUUCCGGGUGUAGCGGUGGAAUGCGCAGAUAUCAGGAGGAACACCGGUGGCGAAGGCGGGUCUCUGGGCCGUAACUGACGCUGAGGAGCGAAAGCGUGGGGAGCGAACAGG
rnacentral:rRNA from 1 species